rnacentral:sRNA from 1 species
CGCGAACACAGGUGGUGCAUGGCUGUCGUCAGCUCGUGUCGUGAGAUGUUGGGUUAAGUCCCGCAACGAGCGCAACCCACGUUUUAGUUUGCCAUCAUUUAGUUGGGCACUCUAGAGAGACUGCCGGUGACAAACCGGAGGAAGGUGUGGAUGACGUCAAGUCAGCAUGCCCCUUACGCCUUGGGCUACACACGUACUACAAUGGUUACGGACAAAGAGCUGCCAACUCGCGAGAGUGCGCUAAUCCCAUAAACCGUAGCUCAGUUCAGAUUGCAGGCUGCAACUCGCCUGCAUGAAGGCGGAAUCGCUAGUAAUCGCAGGUCAGCAUACUGCGGUGAAUACGUUCCCGGGCCUUGUACACACCGCCCGUCACACCAUGGAAGUUGGCCACGCCCGAAGUCGUUACCCUAACCGUAAGGAGGGGGGCGCCUAAGGCAGGGCUGAUGACUGGGGUGAAGUCGUAACAAGGUAGCCGUACCGGAAGGUGUGGCUGGAUCACCUCCUUUUAGGGAGACCUUACCCUUCUAACUCUGAAUUGAGUAAGAGUAGAUAGAGGUUAUCUCAAGGUCGGUCGAGGUUAUAUGUGUUAGCUUCCAAAUUUUGCUCUGGUUUUAAUUAACCAGUACGGGCUAUUAGCUCAGAUGGUUAGAGCGCACCCCUGAUAAGGGUGAGGUCCCUGGUUCGAGUCCAGGAUGGCCCACCUUUGCUAUCGCUAGGGGGUUUAGCUCAGUUGGUAGAGCGCCUGCUUUGCAAGCAGGAUGUCAGCGGUUCGAGUCCGCUAACCUCCACUGAUAAAUUUCAGCAACUCAUGAUGUCUAACAGAAACUUCAUAGCCUGCUGGAUAUUUUAUCCAGUCAGAACCUAGAAAACUGCAUAAAGAUUAGUCAGGUAAGUAGUAACCACUGAAGAUUGAGCAAUCAAUUCUUGUAGUGGCUUUACAGACAAUACCAAACAAAAAUACUUAGAAAUAAGUGGUCAAGCUACAAAGGGCUAAUGGUGGAUACCUWGGCACACAGAGGCGADG